rnacentral:rRNA from 1 species
AACGCGAAGAACCUUACCAGGCCUUGACAUGCAGGUAGUAGAGAACCGAAAGGGGAUCGACCCAAGGGAAACCGAGGGAGCCUGCACAGGUGGUGCAUGGUUGUCGUCAGCUCGUGUCGUGAGAUGUUGGGUUAAGUCCCGCAACGAGCGCAACCCCUAUACUUAGUUGCCAGCACGAAAGGUGGGCACUCUAAGUAGACUGCCGCAGACAAUGCGGAGGAAGGUGGGGAUGACGUCAAAUCAUCAUGCCCUUUAUGGCCUGGGGCCACACACGUGCUACAAUGGCCUGAACAGCGGGAAGCGAAGGAGCGAUCGUGAGCAAACCCCUGAAAACAGGUCCCAGUUCAGAUUGCAGGCUGCAACUCGCCUGCAUGAAGGCGGAAUCGCUAGUAAUCGCGGAUCAGCA